UGAUCGGCUCUCUCCGCCAUGAGCAAUCCACGUUGAUCUUCCACGCUCCCGGAUCUGGAGGUACCCACGAGUGUCUUUCCGAGGCCGUUUCGUGCUUUCCAUAUGUACCACAAAAUGGUCGCGAAGGUCGCCUUUUGAUUUGCUGAGAUGCCGGAGAAGAGGAUAAAUAGGUGCUCGGAGGACUCCGGAUGCUCGCAGCAGAAAGGGCAAGUAGGCUCAGGUAAGA